rnacentral:rRNA from 1 species
CCUACGGGUGGCAGCAGUGAGGAAUAUUGGUCAAUGGGCGGGAGCCUGAACCAGCCAAGUCGCGUGAGGGAUGACGGUCCUACGGAUUGUAAACCUCUUUUGCCGGGGAGCAAGCGUGCGUUCGUGAACGCGCGUCGAGAGUACCCGUAGAAAAAGCAUCGGCUAACUCCGUGCCAGCAGCCGCGGUAAUACGGAGGAUGCGAGCGUUAUCCGGAUUUAUUGGGUUUAAAGGGAGCGUAGAUGGGUGGUUAAGUCAGUUGUGAAAGUUUGCGGCUCAACCGUAAAAUUGCAAUUGAUACUGGCAGUCUUGAGUACAGUUGAGGUAGGCGGAAUUCGUGGUGUAGCGGUGAAAUGCUUAGAUAUCACGAAGAACUCCGAUUGCGAAGGCAGCAUACCGGAGCGCAACUGACGCUCAUGCACGAAAGUGUGGGUAUCGAACAGGAUUAGAUACCCGAGUAGUC